AGAAAUCAACUAUCUGACUCAUACAUAUCUCAACCCAUUAAUUGCCAGUGUUUAUUAGAUUGAUCUGACUGGCUAGGCCCAUCCUCCUUUACUGCCUGUGUGUAUUCCUCCUGAAGCUUUGCACUAGGUUGAAGAAGGUGACCUGUCCCAAAUAGAGACAGGCCAUUCUUUAGUGUGGGUGCAUAAGAAGCUAAGCUCCCCUUAUAGAACUUCUAAAUAACCACUCAAGGUCUAGGGUUUCCAGUAUUGCAUGUUUCAUAGUGAUACUUGUGCCUCUCU
rnacentral:snRNA from 1 species